GGCGUGCCUAAUACAUGCAAGUCGAGCGAACAGAUAAGGAGCUUGCUCCUUUGACGUUAGCGGCGGACGGGUGAGUAACACGUGGAUAACCUACCUAUAAGACUGGGAUAACUUCGGGAAACCGGAGCUAAUACCGGAUAACAUAUUGAACCGCAUGGUUCAAUAGUGAAAGGCGGCUUUGCUGUCACUUAUAGAUGGAUCCGCGCCGUAUUAGCUAGUUGGUAAGGUAACGGCUUACCAAGGCAACGAUACGUAGCCGACCUGAGAGGGUGAUCGGCCACACUGGAACUGAGACACGGUCCAGACUCCUACGGGAGGCAGCAGUAGGGAAUCUUCCGCAAUGGGCGAAAGCCUGACGGAGCAACGCCGCGUGAGUGAUGAAGGUCUUCGGAUCGUAAAACUCUGUUAUCAGGGAAGAACAAAUGUGUAAGUAACUGUGCACAUCUUGACGGUACCUGAUCAGAAAGCCACGGCUAACUACGUGCCAGCAGCCGCGGUAAUACGUAGGUGGCAAGCGUUAUCCGGAAUUAUUGGGCGUAAAGCGCGCGUAGGCGGUUUUUUAAGUCUGAUGUGAAAGCCCACGGCUCAACCGUGGAGGGUCAUUGGAAACUGGAAAACUUGAGUGCAGAAGAGGAAAGUGGAAUUCCAUGUGUAGCGGUGAAAUGCGCAGAGAUAUGGAGGAACACCAGUGGCGAAGG
rnacentral:rRNA from 1 species